UACGGGGGGGGCAAGCGUUGUUCGGAAUUACUGGGCGUAAAGGGCUCGUAGGUGGCCAACUAAGUCAGACGUGAAAUCCCUCGGCUUAACCGGGGAACUGCGUCUGAUACUGGAUGGCUUGAGUUUGGGAGAGGGAUGCGGAAUUCCAGGUGUAGCGGUGAAAUGCGUAGAUAUCGGCAGGAACACCCAGGGGGAAACCAGUCGACUGGGCAUCUACUGACGCUGAGGUGCGAGAGCGUGGGGAGCGAACCGG
rnacentral:rRNA from 1 species